AUCGCUUCUCUGCCUUUUGGCUAAGAUCAAGUGUAUUAUCUGUUCUUAUCAGUUAUCAACUGAUAUCUGUUCUUAUCAGCUUAUCAACAUAAGCUACAUGGAAAAGGUGAAUGAUGAGAUCCUUGAAUUCUU
rnacentral:snRNA from 2 species